rnacentral:rRNA from 1 species
UACGUAGGUGGCGAGCGUUGUCCGGAUUUAUUGGGUUUAGAGGGUGCGUAGGCGGCUCUGUAAGUCAGUGGUGAAAUAUGGCAGCUCAACUGUCAAGGUGCCAUUGAUACUGCAGAGCUUGAGUACAGAUGAGGUAGGCGGAAUUGACGGUGUAGCGGUGAAAUGCUAGAUAUCGUCAAGAACACCUAUAGCGAAGGCAGCUUACUAAGCUGUAACUAACGCUGAGGCACGAAAGUGUGGGGAUCAAACAGG